AUUACUUUGACAUGCUCAUGAUAUAGCAUUGGUACAUAUAGCACACUUGCCGGUUUCAUUGUUGCAUUGUAGUAUACUCGGUUGCUUGGUUAGAGCUUACUCUUUAUGCAUUGGACAUAUUAUCUUGAUAGCGUAGAUGUACAUCACCAUGACAUCAUGUUUACUUGAGAUAUAGCGGUUUAGCUCUUCAAUUAUGCUUUCGUAUUGUUGUUGCUAUUACUCUUAUUAUUGCUUAUAGUACUUACCCUUUUCUUUGGGGCCUAGUGGUG
rnacentral:lncRNA from 1 species